UACGUAGGUGGCAAGCGUUGUCCGGAUUUAUUGGGCGUACAGGGCGCGCAGGCGGUUCGUUUAGUCCGAGGUGAAAUCUCCCGGCUCAACUGGGAGAGGUCUUCGGAUACUGGCGGGCUUGAGGAGAGCAGAGGUGAGUGGAAUUCUGGGUGUAGUGGUGAAAUGCGUAGAUAUCCAGAGGAACACCAGUGGCGAAGGCGACUCACUGGGCUCCACCUGACGCUGAGGCGCGAAAGCGUGGGGAGCGAACCGG
rnacentral:rRNA from 1 species